rnacentral:lncRNA from 1 species
UACACAAAGUAUUGGUAUCAUGCUUACCAUGUUGCACAAAAGAAAAUUUUCCAUCAUGAUCAACUGAAGCACAGAGAGGUCCAGUAGCUCAUCCUGAACUAGAACUACUCAUCUCCUGACUCAGAGGUUUUUACCUAGGCCACCAAACUCCCUAAAGUGAAACACUGCAGAAGGAAUGCUCAGAAAGCAAAAUGUAGCAGCCUCUUCCUGAAUGGAACUGGUACUCGGUUUACUCUUCUAAGCUGGAACUGAAUCGCUAAAGACCAUGGAAAGAGAAUAAAUUUGUUUUUCC